CUGCACUUACCCUCUGUUGAAUACUUUCUGCCUUGGUCUUUUUGCCAUCAUACUGACUUCUUAUUUAUUCUGGCUUGGUAGAAGAAUCCUGCAUUUGGUUAUCAAUAGGAGUCUGCAAAAGAGAGUAUACAUGCUAGUGGUAUCAGUUUCUGCUUUCUUUCCUAUAAGGGUUCUAUUGCUUGGUUUAACUGUUAAAACUCAGCCAGAAUAUUUACCUUUUCAAGCUCUUACAUUUGUGGGUUUUGUUUCCUUCUUUUGUUGUAUUGGGUUGAGCAUCUUCAUGCUCGUUUUCAUGCCCGUGUGGGAUUCUUUAGCAUUGAAGAAGAGCUCAGAGAGGGAUAUAGAGGCUAGGAGAAGGUUAAGUGAUGAACAAAAUGAUACUGUUUCUCUAAUUGCUAACCUUGGAGGAAGUAUGGUCAGCAGUCCUGGGAGAAACUCAGCUACCUCAACGAAGCGAGGAUCCAUCUCCUUUCGAACAACAGACAAGGAUGAAACUACUUCAGGGGCCUUUGUGGAAUUAAGUGUAUUCUCUCCUAGUCAGCAUUCAUCCCCUCCUGGCUCACCUCAACUUCUUGGCUGGCCUAUGCUACCAUUCUCUAAUUGCUAACAUUGGAGGAAGUAUGGUCAGCAGUCCUGGGAGAAAUUCAGCUACCUCAACGAAGCGAGGAUCCAUCUCCUUUCGAACAACGGACAAGGAUGAAACUACUUCAGGGGCCUUUGUGGAAUUAAGUGUAUUCUCUCCUAGUCAGCAUUCAUCCCCUCCUGGCUCACCUCAACUUCUUGGCUGGCCUAUGCUACCACCCUCACAAGCUCAAGGUCCCUUAUAGUUUUCUUGGGGCUGUAUCUUUCUUGUAUUCUCCUAUUACUGUCAUGGUGGUGGAUUAUAACUGAAAGGUCACUUUUUUGGGUUUUAUAUUGUUUGUGUUCAUUAUAUGAGUGAUUUCGAUGUUUGGUACAUUUUUUACUAGUAAUAAUUAGGACUUGCGAACAUGGAGAGGUGAAAUCUAACAAAAUUUGCUGUAUAAAAGGUUAUCUUUCAUUCUUUUGUAUUCCAUAUAGCUGAAUAUUGAGUCACCGAACAGUAGUUUGUAUUGCAAAUACACCUAUGGGAAAUGAAUGAAUACUAUAUGAAGUUAUGAACCAAAUUUGCCCCAAAAGAAAUUAAGUCGUGAUGCCUAUUGGUUAACAGCUUAAGGAUGCUAAGACCAUUAUAAGUCGACCUUUUUGUGGGUUUCCCCCCUUUUCUUCGUGUAGCUUCCCACCCUCUUCUUCGUGUGGUUUUCAUUUGCCCUUUUGCAUCCAACUCGAAGGUUUUAACUUAAAAUGAACUUACAUUUUCCCAGCCUCUGACAUUUAUUAUUAGGUCUUUAGCUUAGCCCCUACAAUCAUCAAAUUUCGUCUUCUGAUAAGUCGUGACAUC
rnacentral:lncRNA from 1 species